rnacentral:rRNA from 1 species
UACGUAGGUGGCAAGCGUUACUCGGAAUCACUAGGCGUAAAGCGCAGGUAGGAGGUUUGGUAAGUCUGUUGUGAAAGCUCCCGGCUUAACUGGGAGAGGGCAACGGAAACUACUAGGCUAGAGUGCGGUAGAGGUAGCUGGAAUUCCCGGUGUAGCGGUGAAAUGCGUAGAUAUCGGGAGGAAUACCUAUGGCGAAAGCAGGCUACUGGACCGUCACUGACUCUGAUCUGCGAAAGCUAGGGGAGCAAACAGG